CAGCAGCCGCGGGAAUACGAAGGGUGCAAGCGUUGAUCGGAAUUACUGGGCGUAAAGCGUGCGUAGGCGGUUUGUUAAGUCUGCUGUGAAAUCCCCGGGCUCAACCUGGGAAUGGCAGUGGAUACUGGCAAGCUAGAGUGUGUCAGAGGAUGGUGGAAUUCCCGGUGUAGCGGCGAAAUGCGUAGAGAUCGGGAGGAACAUCAGUUGCGAAGGCGGCCAUCUGGGACAACACUGACGCUGAGGCACGAAAGCGUGGGGAGCAAACAGGAUUAGAUACCCCAGUAGUCCCUGUCUCUUAUAC
rnacentral:rRNA from 1 species